rnacentral:rRNA from 1 species
GACGGAGGGUGCAAGCGUUGUUCGGAAUUACUGGGCGUAAAGGGCGCGUAGGCGGUCUGUUAAGUUCGGUGUGAAAGCCCCCGGCUCACCUGGGGAACUGCGCCGGAAACCGACAGACUCGAGUACCGGAGAGGAGGGUGGAAUUCCUGGUGUAGCGGUGAAAUGCGCAGAUAUCAGGAGGAACACCAAUUGCGAAGGCAGCUCGCUGGGACGUUACUGACGCUGAGACGCGAAAGCGUGGGGAGCAAACAGG